rnacentral:rRNA from 1 species
AGAGUUUGAUCCUGGCUCAGGAUAAACGCUGGCGGCGUGCCUAAUACAUGCAAGUCGAACGAGGGCGGCCAAGCUUGCUUGGCCAAACGAGUGGCGAACGGGUGAGUAAUACAUAAGCAACCUGCCCACGAAGACCGGGAUAAUCUCUGGAAACGGGGACUAAAACCGGAUAGGUAGGACAACCGCAUGGUUGAGCUAUUAAAGGUGAGAAACACUGGUGGAUGGGCUUAUGGCGCAUUAGCUAGUUGGUGAGGUAAAGGCCCACCAAGGCGAUGAUGCGUAGCCGGCCUGAGAGGGUGAACGGCCACAUUGGGACUGAGACACGGCCCAGACUCCUACGGGAGGCAGCAGUAGGGAAUUUUCGGCAAUGGGGGGAACCCUGACCGAGCAACGCCGCGUGAACGAUGAAGGUCUUCGGAUUGUAAAGUUCUGUUGUACGGGAAGAACGGUAUGGAUAGGAUCCAUAAGUGACGGUACCGUACCAGAAAGCCACGGCUAACUACGUGCCAGCAGCCGCGGUAAUACGUAGGUGGCGAGCGUUAUCCGGAAUUAUUGGGCGUAAAGGGUGCGUAGGCGGUCUGUUAAGUUCAUGGUUAAAGCGUGGGGCUCAACCCCAUAAAGCCACGGAUACUGACAGACUAGAGUACUGGAAAGGGCAGUGGAAUUCCAUGUGUAGCGGUAAAAUGCGUAGAUAUAUGGAGGAACACCGGUGGCGAAGGCGGCUGCCUGGACAGAAACUGACGCUGAGGCACGAAAGCGUGGGGAGCAAAUAGGAUUAGAUACCCUAGUAGUCCACGCCGUAAACGAUGGAUACUAAGUAUUGGGGCAACUCAGUGCUGCAGUUAACGCAAUAAGUAUCCCGCCUGUGGAGUAUGCACGCAAGUGUGAAACAUAAAGGAAUUGACGGGG